AUUAUUGAUCAACACCCCUUAGGUUUUAUUUUUUACUUUGCCUUUUUACUUUCAUUCCAAAUUUCAAUCCAACUGCUGCACCUCCUCUUCCAACUCCAAGUUGCAGGGACAAUGUUAGUUUCAAUUUUUAAUUUUUGUUCCAAUUUUUUUUUUGUGUUUUCUAUUUUUUCCUUCAAAAUCUUAGGCUCCAACAAUUCGCAGCAUUUGCCCAUCGGCUAGUGUUAUUUGCAUCUCAGUAAACGACGUCCACCUAACACGAUCUAUUACCUAGAGUACUACAUCAUCACAAAUCAAAUUUAAUAAACCUAACCGAACCAAACCAUAUUACAAAAAACCGAACCAAACUAAUUCGGUUCGGUAUAACAAAUUCAUUAACCAAAAUCAAAAAAACCGAACCAAUCGAACUACCGAAUGCCCACCCCUAAUUUUUUGACAAAACAAGCUCCGAACGAGCUCACCACAUCACCUCCAUACCCCUCUUCACUGCCUCCAGUGAACCAAACCCACCUCUGUUUCUUUCUCCUAUCUUGAGUUUUGCCAUUUUUGGCAAGAUUUGGUCGAAAAGCUCUCUCUACCACCAACCUCCAUCAACCCCUAAUAGGUCUGCAUACACCACUAGAUCUCCACUAGUUCAAUACCCAUUUUUUGACUAAACAUCAGAUCCACAUUCCCCAUAUUUUCCAACAAAUGAAACCAAUCUACGCCUGACGCCAUUUCCAGCAAAACUAGACCCAAAACUCCACCAGUAACUGAGCAAUACCAAAAUCAAAAACAAUUUUCACUCUCGGAUUUUGUACAUUGGAACAAACAAGUCCUCAUCCCUUCUCCCCUUUACCUCUGUUCUCCUGUUUUGCAGGUAUUUCUUGAUGUUCUAACGAGCUCCCACUCCAGCUCCGGCGUGGCUCUAUUGUCGGUAAACCACAACAAUUUAUCCAGAUUUUGCACCAACGAAGCUCUCUUACCAUUGGAUAAAAUCACCAGUGCUAACAAAUUGUUACUUAGUCACAAACUCAGACGCAGGUAAUCAGGAUCAAUAUCAUCCAACGCCUUCUUGAUACAACUGAGAACUCAGAGUCAUUGGUGAGCCUCCUUGCAUACCGGAGGACACAUUUAUUGCUUUCAAUCUUUCCUUUUAUAGGAUAUUGUGGGGUCUGUCCCAACAUCCAUGUCAAUUUUAGAAGUCUUCAUAGAUAGACAGUUAGUAGUUUACUAAUGUUUAACUUAUCAUUCUUAUGUUAAAGAAUUGGGUUGCCAUUUGUCCAAGUUGGAUGUUUAAAUCUUUAAAAUAUUCUAGUUAUCUUAUUAUUUGGUUUA